rnacentral:misc_RNA from 1 species
AUCACUCUUUCCCAUAACUUCAUCGUAUGACUUAUUAGUUUAAUAUCAUGGUAGUUUGUACAAAUUUGGAUGUCUCAUUUUUUCUUAAAGGUAGGAACCAAACUGCUCUUCUUCCACUCAUUUGGCAUCUUUCCAAAAUUUAAUAUGCCAACUUGAUUAGCCAAGCUACUCCAACGUCCCCAAAGCACUUUCACAAUUUUAUGGAGAUACCAUAUGGGCUGCAAGAUCUUCUUAUCUUCAUAUUCUUCAUGACCUCCAACUUUAAAAAACUUGAUUCUAUAAAUGCAGUUAAAAUUCUUCUUUGUCAACUAGACAUUAAGGGUUCUAAAGUCAUACUCAUAACUCGCAUUGAACAGCUUAUCAAAGUAGCAUCUCCAUCUCUCAUUAAUCUCAUUAUCUCUAGACAAUACUUUAUGAUUAUCAUCUUUAAUGCAUUUGACUUGAUUUAAGUCUCUACCCUUCUUCUCCUUCAAUCAUGCUAUACCUAUACAUCUCCUUCUCCCCCUCUCUUAUCCCCAACUUUUGAUACAAAUUAGCUAGAGAUUACCACAAGCGUUGCUAACCAUUUUCUUAGUUUCUAUCCUUGGCAACUUAUAUUUCUCAAAGGCCUCCCUAUCUUUCAUUGUUGGCAACCGGUAACUUUAUAUACCAUUCUCUUUUCAUCUCAAUAGCCUUUUGAAAUUCCUCAUUGAACCACUAAGACUCUUGUGCACGUGGUCCUCUACUUUUGGAUACGCCUAGUAUAUUCACUGCAACUUUUUUAAUGCAGCUCGCCAUCAGACUCCAUAAGGUAUCAACAUGAUCUUCUAUAUUCCAUACACUUUCUAUCAAUAUAUUCUCCAUAAAAGCUAUUUGGUUCAUGACUUCUAAGUUCUACCAUCAAGUUUUAGAUUACAUAAAUCUUUUCUUCUUCACUCCACUCUUUAUCUUCACAUCUAAGGCCACUAGCCUAUUGACCGUGGUUAAUACAAUUAAACCUUAAUACUUAUAGUUAAUAAAAUUAAAAAAAAAAAGAGAUCUUCAUCUGACUGUUAUGAGAAUAAUCAACAAAAAUAUAAUUCAAGAAAAACCCAUAAUAGGGCACUUCAACUAUUGUCCAUUUUUUAGGUAACAUGGUAAGCCAACAAUAUCAAACUAGAAAGUGGAUUGCUUAUGCGGAAUCUAAUAAUUAUAAUUAACCAAGGACAAAUGAAAAUAAGAGUAAACUCAUAAAAGAAACUAAAAAAAGUUGUGUUUAGCAAUUGCUAAUGUACACCACAACACAUUAAAUAACGAAAGUUUCAACUUUAAAGUAUAUACUCAAUCAUAAGGAUUUCUGAUCUUACUUCAUCAAUUCAAAUUCACCA